CUCGAGCAAGAUGCCGGCUGCCAGACUGGAGGGAUCAACAAACUGGCGGUCUGGCCCAGCCCUCCGCCGGCUGGCUGCUCCCCGCCCCCCCGCCAUCCGCAGUGCACAGUCGCUCUGUUCUCCUGCCAACUUGGCAGCUCAGCUCUGCUGUUACUAUCAACACCUCCGAGGGAAGAGGGAGAGGAGUGAGUUCUGAUCGCCUGGCACACCGAGCAGCAUAUUCGUGCCGAGCCAGCCCUGGAAUGUGUCCCAAGCUCCCAAGGCUCUCCAGGGGAAGGAAAGCUUCAAGAGCAUGCCUGCACUGAGACCUGAUCCUGAAAAUGCAUUCAUCGCCUUUUUUUCCCCCUAAAGAAGAUGGCACACUCUAAGAAUCCACCUGCUCGUGA